AGAGCUUCCGCCCGGGUUUGCGGGAACAAAGCAGCGCCCUGCGGAAGGCAGCCCUCGUGAACUCAGAAGUUAGUUUUCGUCUCUGGACCUUUUUAUAAUCGGACUUCAGCCCAUCACUGUCUCGUUUUGUCCUCAGAAACGGCGACAGCAGCCUCUUCCCAAUGUUGAGAGCAAAAAGUGUGAACCCAGAAAUUCCGAGACAGAUCUCAAUUACUUGCCAAGGUUGAGGACGCGCGCGUGACAGCCUCAGGAAGUCCUCACGACAUGUGCCCAAGGUGGUCUGGGCAUAGCUUAGUUUUAUACAUUUUAUGGAGACAUGAGACAUCAAUAAAUGUAUGUAAGAAGUACAUUGGUUCUGUUUGGAAAGGCGGGGCAACUUGAAGCAAAGGCAGGAAGACGUGAAGCAGGAAGGGGGCUUCCAAGAAACAGAAGAGACAAGUGAACAUUUAUUUUUAUGUCUUUCUUCCUAUGUGUAUUUCAAGUCUUUUUCAAAACAAGGCCCCAGGACUCUCCAGAUUCAAUUAUGUCCUUGGGCUUGGUCGACUGCUGCAGGAGUCUUAAGGAGCCUUGUGCAAAUGCUAGAGUGACUCAUUUACCAACAUUAAACCCUAGGAUAGAUGCAACAGAGAAGUACUACUUCCUCCAUGGAAUGUGCUGAUUUCAGGCGACGUGGCACCCAAUGUAGAAAACGCUGGAAUUUUUCCUUGGAACUGGACUGUGAUGAGAGGUGCUUGCCAUGAACAUAAGCUACUGUCUUUUUUUUCUUUUUUUGAGACGGACUUUCACUUUUUUUGCCCAGGCUGGAGUGUAAUGGCGCGAUCUUGGCUCACCGCAACCUCCGCCUCCCAGGUUUGAGUGAUUCUCCUACCUUAGCCUCCUGAGUAGCUGGGAUUACAGGCGUGCGCCACCAUUCCCAGCUAAUUUUUGUAUUUUUAGUAGACACAGUGUUUCUCCAUGUUGGUCAGGCUGGUCUCAAACUCCUGACCUCAGGUGAUACGCCCGCCUCAGCCUCCCAAAGUGUUGGGAUUACUGGCGUGAGGCAUCGUGCCCAGCAAGCUACUGUCUUUUCUUUGACCCUUUCCAGUUUUUGAAGAUAAAGCAGGAAAUAAUCUUCUCUGAAAGUACUUGAUAAAAAUUCCCAAAACAACAAAAA
rnacentral:lncRNA from 1 species